rnacentral:rRNA from 3 species
AGAGUUUGAUCAUGGCUCAGAUUGAACGCUGGCGGCAGGCCUAACACAUGCAAGUCGAGCGGUAGCACAGAGAGCUUGCUCUCGGGUGACGAGCGGCGGACGGGUGAGUAAUGUCUGGGAAACUGCCUGAUGGAGGGGGAUAACUACUGGAAACGGUAGCUAAUACCGCAUAACGUCGCAAGACCAAAGUGGGGGACCUUCGGGCCUCAUGCCAUCAGAUGUGCCCAGAUGGGAUUAGCUAGUAGGUGGGGUAACGGCUCACCUAGGCGACGAUCCCUAGCUGGUCUGAGAGGAUGACCAGCCACACUGGAACUGAGACACGGUCCAGACUCCUACGGGAGGCAGCAGUGGGGAAUAUUGCACAAUGGGCGCAAGCCUGAUGCAGCCAUGCCGCGUGUGUGAAGAAGGCCUUCGGGUUGUAAAGCACUUUCAGCGGGGAGGAAGGCGGUGAGGUUAAUAACCUCACCGAUUGACGUUACCCGCAGAAGAAGCACCGGCUAACUCCGUGCCAGCAGCCGCGGUAAUACGGAGGGUGCAAGCGUUAAUCGGAAUUACUGGGCGUAAAGCGCACGCAGGCGGUCUGUCAAGUCGGAUGUGAAAUCCCCGGGCUCAACCUGGGAACUGCAUUCGAAACUGGCAGGCUAGAGUCUUGUAGAGGGGGGUAGAAUUCCAGGUGUAGCGGUGAAAUGCGUAGAGAUCUGGAGGAAUACCGGUGGCGAAGGCGGCCCCCUGGACAAAGACUGACGCUCAGGUGCGAAAGCGUGGGGAGCAAACAGGAUUAGAUACCCUGGUAGUCCACGCUGUAAACGAUGUCGAUUUGGAGGUUGUGCCCUUGAGGCGUGGCUUCCGGAGCUAACGCGUUAAAUCGACCGCCUGGGGAGUACGGCCGCAAGGUUAAAACUCAAAUGAAUUGACGGGGGCCCGCACAAGCGGUGGAGCAUGUGGUUUAAUUCGAUGCAACGCGAAGAACCUUACCUGGUCUUGACAUCCACAGAACUUUCCAGAGAUGGAUUGGUGCCUUCGGGAACUGUGAGACAGGUGCUGCAUGGCUGUCGUCAGCUCGUGUUGUGAAAUGUUGGGUUAAGUCCCGCAACGAGCGCAACCCUUAUCCUUUGUUGCCAGCGGUCCGGCCGGGAACUCAAAGGAGACUGCCAGUGAUAAACUGGAGGAAGGUGGGGAUGACGUCAAGUCAUCAUGGCCCUUACGACCAGGGCUACACACGUGCUACAAUGGCAUAUACAAAGAGAAGCGACCUCGCGAGAGCAAGCGGACCUCAUAAAGUAUGUCGUAGUCCGGAUUGGAGUCUGCAACUCGACUCCAUGAAGUCGGAAUCGCUAGUAAUCGUAGAUCAGAAUGCUACGGUGAAUACGUUCCCGGGCCUUGUACACACCGCCCGUCACACCAUGGGAGUGGGUUGCAAAAGAAGUAGGUAGCUUAACCUUCGGGAGGGCGCUUACCACUUUGUGAUUCAUGACUGGGGUGAAGUCGUAACAAGGUAACCGUAGGGGAACCUGCGGUUG